AAAACUCUUUCUUGUUGUUGUACUUGAGAACAAUUAGAUCUACAGCGCAUUGUCCAUACAAUGAUGGGAUUAUGAGUUUGGGUCGCACGUUCAGACGUUUCGCCUGAGCUCAGCAAAGGCCAGAAGGACGGUGUCCCUCUCGCGCAGCUGACGGGGCUCUUUGCUUGUUCACUGCGCUUUUUCCCGAAAGGGCUCUGGUGACGAUACCAUUCAGAAGCCGGAGCAAUAAAUGAGCGAGUUGGACGCCACAUAAGCACUGAGUUUUGUAAAAGACACACAGACUAUGGAGCGCAGCCAAAAUGCCAGGAACAAAAGGCAACAAAUCUGACAAGAAAUCAGCUACCAAGCAACCUGAGAGUCCUAAGGAGCAACCGAAGAAAGCUGAUCAGAAAGGAGAUGAUAACAAAAAGCAAGGAGGACAGCCGAAGGGCGAGAAGCAAUAAUUUCCAGGUAUUUGUAAAGAUGGCUCUGGUGACUGCUGGGAUCCUGCCAUCACAAGCAUGGGGGUCCUCGGGGUAGACAAGGCUGAAGAACCUCCCUUGGACCUGCAGACAGGCCAUCGCUACACAACUACGCUCACCUCUUCUCACAAGGGCAGAAAGUGACCCACAUUUCCAUCCAUCAGUGAUCCACUGUGUAUGCCCUUUCUUCCCACCCCGUUUCCCCUCCCUCAGUCUGCUCUGGAUUGUAGGAACGCUUGGAAAUGGAUGGUCACGAGGUCAAACUCAGCCAAUGAUCUGAGCUUCCCGAGAAACUGAAACCUUCAUCUACCCAAUUGUUCCCUCUCUUCCCACCCAAAGUUCCUUAUUUUGAUCAACUGUAACAGUCCAAACCAUUCUUGUAAAUAAGCAAAUAAACUAUUAUUUCCUAAAA